CAAUACCAAUAUUGAUAUUUGAGAGUUUAAUAAUGGCUUUUUAAAUCAAUUAGUCAGUCCAAAUUGCUGACAAAACAUUUGCCAGUUGUUUAAUCAAUUAAGCAAUCUUUCUAAUCUUCAAGUACUAAAGAAAAUGCUGUAAAUUGUCAUUCCGAUAACUAUUAUUACCAUAGGCUUUGUUUUUUUGUCUGUCCCUAUUGUUAAACUAAUGCCCUGAGAGAGAAUGGAAAACAUGACUUUAUGUAACAUAAAAAGAUAUCACCAUAGUGAUGAUUGUUAUUUUGUCCAUUUUUUGUCAAAAACAAUUUGAUUUAACCAUCAGAAUUAAAAACGUAAUCAUCUCCAACAAAAAAAUAUAUGUAAUUCCUUUUCUUUUACUUACACUAUUGUUUAUCAGAAUGGUCAAUACUGAAAGACAUCCCAUCUCAAUACAUAUCUAGGCAAAGAGCUGCAUGUCCAGUAUAAGAGGCAUACUCAGUGCUCUGCUGCUACCUUGUGGACGAACUGGAUGUGACCACUCUGCAGUAAUAGCCACAGCCAUAUCAACCUGCUACUGGACUGGGGGAAAAAUGAGCUGUGGGACCCUGUUCUAUAGUUGGUUCAAGUUGACUGAAAACAAAUGUAUCUGCUUACAAUCACACACUUGGUAUAAAAAAUAAAAAUAAAAAUAAAAAGGCAAGUGCAAUAUUUAAAAGUACUAAAAGUUGAUUCUAACACACACCUACAAGACAGGGCUUUAGAUUAGGUAAAUAUGCAGGAGCCGACUUGUAGUCCAUCUUAUUUAAUAUGGUGCAUAUUGCAACAAAUGUGCAAUAAUAAAAAAAAUACUGUAAGGUAAUCGUCACAAAAUUAACCUGGGGCUCCCAAGGCCCCUUGGGGGUCUGGGGCCUUGAGGCAGUUGUCCAAUUCACCCUGUUAGUAAUCCAGCCUCAGGGCUGCCUUGAAGCUGUGAUUGGAGUGUUAAAUACAUUUUAUUACAGGUUAAAUAAUACAACUGUAUUUCAAAACAAUAUCCCACUCUACCCUGAAAUCCAAUGACUUGACUGACACACACUUGCUAUUAAUCUUGGACCUAUUUGUCGUGUACCUCUUUUAUAAUUUGAUUGUGGCAUUGGUUAAAAACAUGUUAUAAAAGGCUUAGAAUUAAGAAUGGUGAAGUAUGGUAUAGCUACUAAGUAUUUUUUCACUUGUUGAGAUUUACCUUCAAACACAAUUAACACCCAAAUAAUAUAAUUCAGUAUUUCUCAAACACUACCAAAUGAAGGUGAAAGAAACACAUUAGUCAUUUUAAUAUGUGCUUGCUUUUUAUUUUAAGUGGGCAAAUAAACCACAUUUUCCCUUGGGGCCCAGUGACACCCACUGAAAAGCCCUUAAAGGCCCCCAGGCCCCAAUGAAUCAAUUUCAGAAGGGUAUAUGUUAGUAUCACAAUAUAAUUAUUUAACUUAGUCCUCCAAAUGAGUAUUGUCAAGAUUCUUACGGAGUUGGAAUUGACUUUACAGGUUGAUGUGGCUAGUUCGGUCAUUUAUUAAGAGACACCAAGGGUAUCAGUAGCAGGCUGGCAGCUGUGUUUUAAUACAGCCCACCUUUAAUUACAGAGCCCACUUACUCCACUUAAUGCUGUUAAAUUAUUGUGUUUAUCCAUUUGACCUGUUCCCUCAACAAAUUCUUUCUCAGUCAGUUUUGAUGCUACAAAUGGAUGCUGUUUACCUCUUCUUAGUUACUCUUGGAUGGAUAGCUUUGACUGUGCACACAACCCGCUGUGUGAUGCAAUACAGAAUGAAUAGUGGAAGUUGUCAGGUCAUGAACAGGCUGAGCCACUGAGGUUCAAUUGCUGAUAGAAAAAGUAUUCAUAUCUUGAUUUCCCCUCUAAACUUCUUCUCAAGGCCCAAUGAAGUAGAAAUAUCCCAUGAUUUGAUCUGUAUCUUCUCUCCCAAUAAUCUUGUCAAGACCCACCAGAUUUAUCUUGUGAUCCCUUGGAGGGGUCCAACCCCUAGGUUGGGAACCACCUGAUUAGCCCACCUAACCAUAUUGCUAAAACCAGCUCCAUUUAAAGCAUCUACAACAGUUAAGUGCUGCUUACACACUGAUGCAUCAGUAUUAACAAUAACAAUACUGUCAGAUAUAGAAACAUAUCAGUUACAGAGGCCAUUUCUUUGCAGCAUGACUAAUUUCACCUCUGAUAUUUUAAGUACAUUUUGCUGAAUAUAGGACGUUUACUUGUAAUUAAGUAUUUUAACACUGUGGUGUUAGUGCUUUUACUUAAGUAAAGGAUCUGAGUACUUCUUUCACCACUGCUAAUUACUUGAGUAAAUGUACUUGGCUAUUUUCCACAAGUGGGUUUAAUACACCUUCCUUUUGAGCUGAUAGUAUACAUACUUAAGAUUUUUCUUUUUAACACAAAUGCUCAUGCUGUUUUGUUAUCAGUUAAACAUAUGUUACGAGACUGCAGAUGAUGCUGUUGCUGUGACAAGCAGGACUAGGAAACUGUCCUGUGACAAGCAUGCUCUCUAGUAUUAACCCCAGGAAGGAGUCGUUAUACAAGAGCCUUUGCUAGAAUACCUACCCGAAAUGUAAAUCCCCCCUCCCAGCCCAUUAUACAGGCUACAGGGAGAAUGAGCCACCCGACAACACCAAGAGACAAUAUCCUCUAACCCUUCUCACAAGCAGUCGAACCUGUGAGAAGAGUGCGAAAUAACUAUACGAAACCGGGAUAGGUCAUCAAAGACGCCCCGCUGAAAAAUGCUGAAAAGCACAUAAACCGAGCUGAAAGGAAGCAAAACGAAACCUAACGUUAGUCGUUCGCCAACUUUGUUUGACAUAUCAUGUGUACAAAGAAAGUUUCUCCAAACAUGCCAACAUUAGUGGGUAGCAUUUUUUUGUAUUACAUAAUCAAAACGUGUUGUUGCAUGCAUUUUCCCUCCCGGACGGUUUCCUGGUUGCAACAGAGCAACCCCGGCUGUCCCCGUAACCGUCUAGCGGCACGGACUGCACCGAUGCCCGGCGUGCAGCGUCAGGAGACUCCGCAGAGCAACCAUGUUUCUUGGUAACGGCCAUGGUUGUCAAAACCCACCGUACUCGGUUGAUAACGCCGCUAAACGGUCACAGGGGGCCUGAAGCCGAUCCCAGCUGACAUUGGAUGAGAGGCAGGAUACAACCUGGACAGAUCGCCAGGCUAUCACAGGGCGGACAAACAGAGACAAACAACCAUUCACACUUUUUAGAGUGUCCAAUUAAGUCACCAAUUAACCUAAUCUGCAUAUCUCUGGACUGUGAGAAGAAGCCAGAGUUUGUUUCAAUAAGCAAAGUAAAAAGUAAAAAAAAAAAAAAAAAAAAGUGAAUUGGAAUCUAUGAGGCUUUUAAGGCAUAUACUCACAUUGCAUUGUGACUGCUGGCAAAGUCGGACCAUGAGAAAGUAAUGGAGCACAUGGAGCCAAUAUAACAACUGUACCACUCUAAGUGGAUGCCAUCUGGGUUCCUGUCAUACAAAAGAGGAAAAAACAUUUUUCCCAAAUUUGUCCUACUGCUCAUGUUAACAAUCCACUUCCUUUUUGACCAAUAUUCACUGCAAGAAAUGAACUGUUUUGAGUUGCACAAAUGCCAAUUCAUGGUGGCGCAAAGACUGGUACAAGCAGCACUACAGCACAUUGGUGUAAUCCUGACCUUGAAAUGCACUUUGCCUGGUCAUUUGCUAUUUUCAUUUGCAUGCAAAUGAGGAAGUGGUGCGCUAGUUCUUAGUACUUUGUGAUAACGGAGUCUGACAUUGCACUGAGACCAGACAUCAGGAGACCACGUCAGUUCUCAUGCCACCAGCAUUCAUUUGAUAAUAAAACAGAAAUACAAAGCA